UCUACACUCUCUCUCUCUCUCUUCUCUAUUCAACUGCAUUAUGCUUUCUAUUACUAUGUUAUAUUUUCCAGUACGGUAGGCUAUAUAGUUUGAGUCUCUCCACUUACUACCUGCUCCACAGUUUCGAAUAAUAGUCCCUUCUUUUGUAAUAGUGUAGGUCUGUCACCAUUGUCCACUGGUCUACCCUCUCUUUCUCAACUCACUCCUUCUCAGUCGGAGUAUUUCGCGCCCUUUUUGGUUGGGUUUGCAUUUUGGUUAGUUGUAGUCACUAAACUGUCACUUUAGUCAGUCGCAAGGGCCAGUUAGUUUCAGUUCAUCAUGUAUUGAAUACAGAUUACAGUUCAUGUUUCCAGUGUUUUAUCCGGGAAUUUAUUUGUUUUGAAGUCACUUGAUCUUCUAUUAUCAAUGAGACGUAUGUCGCGUCAUGCGCCGAUAAAGCUUUGGAAGGGCGCACAAUCACGAGUAUCAUGGGGAAGCUGGUGACCCUUCGUUGCCAUAUACUUUUCGUGGAAAAGAGUUCAACGCAAGGACGGCCAUGAGAUAGAGAAAAAAACAUUCAAGGACCUUCUCAUAACUAAAGUUAUGAUUGACAUGGAGAAAAGAAGAAGAAACAGUCGUCUGCUGAAGUCAAUGAAGACGAGACACUUGAAAAUUUUAAUUUGGAGCUCCAGCCAUAAAAUACAAUUCGUCGCAUUACUAUGUUAAUUAUGAAUGUUAAAGUAAAGGAUUUAUUCAUCAAUUUU
rnacentral:lncRNA from 1 species